rnacentral:rRNA from 1 species
GGGAAUUUUUGUCAAUGGGGGAAACCCUGAACAAGCAACGCCGCGUGAAGGACGAAGACCUUCGGGUUGUAAACUUCUGUCGGAGGGGACGAAAGCAUCAACGGUUAAUACCCGUGGGUGUUGACGGUACCCUACGAGGAAGCCCCGGCUAACUCCGUGCCAGCAGCCGCGGUAAUAAGGAGGGAGCUAGCGUUGUUCGGAAUUACUGGGCGUAAAGCGCACGUAGGCGGCGCCGCAAGUCAGGGGUGAAAUCCCGGGGCUCAACCCCGGAACUGCCCUUGAAACUGCAGUGCUAGAAUCCUGGAGAGGCGAGUGGAAUUCCGAGUGUAGAGGUGAAAUUCGUAGAUAUUCGGAAGAACACCAGUGGCGAAGGCGACUCGCUGGACAGGUAUUGACGCUGAGGUGCGAAAGCGUGGGGAGCAAA